UACAGAGGUCUCAAGCGUUGUUCGGAUUCAUUGGGCGUAAAGGGUGCGUAGGCGGCGUGGUAAGUCGGAUGUGAAAUCCCGGGGCUUAACCCCGGAACUGCAUUCGAUACUGCCUUGCUCGAGUACUGGAGAGGAGACUGGAAUUUACGGUGUAGCAGUGAAAUGCGUAGAUAUCGUAAGGAAGACCAGUGGCGAAGGCGAGUCUCUGGACAGUUACUGACGCUGAGGCACGAAGGCCAGGGGAGCAAACGGG
rnacentral:rRNA from 1 species